UGUGAUCAGCUAACCCCCCGGGUCUUGCUCAUGAACGCCUUCUGUCAAGCCAGGCCUCGGCCAUCAGCCACUGGGGCAAUUGAUUUUUUUGAAUGCUCAUGAUUAUCUAUGACUCAGACUCGAAGCUACAAAACAAGGUCUUGCCCUCCUUUCUUGUGUGGCAUCUGCUGAGUGGGUGUGAGGUCUUGGGGGCCUGUUCAGAAGCCAGAGGCAUGGCCGGCCGCUGGUGAGGAGGUCUCCAGCAUGAUUUGAUCCACAAAUAGCAAGAGGAUGGUAACAAAACUCUGUGACCUUUCAUAAGUGUGCAGUGGGGAUAAGAAGAUGAGCAAAGAUAUGCUACGAAAAGAGCAUUUUAGGAAACCUCCAUUCUUCUCUACGUGGGCCUCUCCAUCGGGCUACUUGAAUGUCUUCAGGAUGUGGCACCUGGCUUCCCCCAAAGCAAGU